UCGACGCAUUCUUCGGAAUGAGUGGCGCACGGCUGAGGAACACGUGACUAACCUACCCCGGUGUGGGGGAUAACGGGUCGAAAGACUCGCUAAUCCCGCAUACGAUCCGCCUCGGCGGAGGAAAGCCGUAAGGCGCACUGAGCGGGGGUCGCGUCCCAUUAGAUAGUUGGUGUGGUAAUGGCGCACCAAGUCGAUGAUGGGUCUCUGGUCUGAGAGGACGACCAGACAGAUUGGGACUGAGACACGGCCCAAACUCCUACGGGGGGCAGCAGCAAGGAAUUUUCGGCAAUGGGCGCAAGCCUGACCGAGCAACGCCGCGUGGAGGAUGACGGCUCUUGGGUUGUAAACUCCUUUUGGGGGGGACGAUAAUGACGGUACCCUCCGAAUCAGGCCCGGCUAACUACGUGCCAGCAGCCGCGGUAAUACGUAGGGGCCAAGCGUUGUCCGGAAUUACUGGGCGUAAAGCGUGGGUAGGUGGUCGGUGAUGUGCCGCGUGAAAGCGCCGGAGUAAUGCCGGCGAGGUCGCGGUAGACACACGGACUCGAGGCUCGCAGAGGAACGUGGAAUUCCCGGUGUAGUGGUGAAAUGCGUAGAUAUCGGGAGGAACACCAGUGGCGCAAGCGGCGUUCUGGGCGAGACCUGACACUGAGCCACGACGGCGUGGGGAGCAAACAGGAUUAGAUACCCUGGUAGUCCACGCAGUAAACGAUGCAUACCAGGUGUGGGAUGGCGUUCGCGUCGUUCCGUGCCGCAGCUUACGCGAUGAGUAUGCCGCCUGGGGACUACGAGCGCAAGCUUAAAACUCAGAGGAAUUGACGGGGGCCCGCACAAGCAGCG
rnacentral:rRNA from 1 species